rnacentral:rRNA from 1 species
UACAGAGGUCUCAAGCGUUGUUCGGAUUCAUUGGGCGUAAAGGGUGCGUAGGCGGCGCGGUAAGUCGGGUGUGAAAUCUCGGAGCUUAACUCCGAAACUGCAUUCGAUACUGCUCGGCUAGAGUCCCGGAGAGGAUGGUGGAACUCUCGGUGUAGAGGUGAAAUUCGUAGAUAUCGAGAAGAACAUCGGUGGCGAAGGCGGCCAUCUGGACGGUGACUGACGCUGAGACGCGAAAGCGUGGGGAGCGAACAGG